GUCUACGGCCAUGCUACUCUGAACAAGCCGAAUCUCAUCUGAUCUCGGAAGCUAAGCAGGGUUGGGCCUGGUUAGUACUUGGAUGGGAGACCAGCUAGGAAGACCAGGUGCUGUAGGCA
rfam:Pteropus alecto contig22284, whole genome shotgun sequence.